rnacentral:rRNA from 1 species
AACGAACGCUGGCGGCAUGCCUAACACAUGCAAGUCGAACGAGACCUUCGGGUCUAGUGGCGCACGGGUGCGUAACGCGUGGGAACCUGCCCUUAGGUUCGGAAUAACUCCCCGAAAGGGGUGCUAAUACCGAAUAAUGUCUUCGGACCAAAGAUUUAUCGCAUUUGGAUGGGCCCGCGUUGGAUUAGCUAGUUGGUAGGGUAAAAGCCUACCAAGGCGACGAUCCAUAGCUGGUCUGAGAGGAUGAUCAGCCACACUGGGACUGAGACACGGCCCAGACUCCUACGCGAGGCAGCAGUGGGGAAUAUUGGACAGUGGGCGAAAGCCUGAUCCAGCAAUGCCGCGUGAGUGAUGAAGGCCUUAGGGUUGAAAAGCUCUUUUACCCGGGAUGAUAAUGACAGUACCGGGAGAAUAAGCUCCGGCUAACUCCGUG